rnacentral:rRNA from 1 species
AAUGAACGCUGGCGGCGCGCCUAAUACAUGCAAGUCGAGCGAGAAGACGUAGCAAUACGUUUGUAAAGCGGCGAACGGGUGAGGAAUACAUGGGUAACCUACCCUCGAGUGGGGAAUAACUAGCCGAAAGGUUAGCUAAUACCGCGUACGCUUCUUGGACUUCGGUUCAGGGAGGAAAGCGAUGCCGAGGGUAUCGCGCUCUUGGAUGGGCUCAUGUCCUAUCAGCUUGUUGGUGAGGUAACGGCUCACCAAGGCUUCGACAGGUAGCUGGUCUGAGAGGACGAUCAGCCACACUGGCACUGCGACACGGGCCAGACUCCUACGGGAGGCAGCAGUAAGGAAUAUUGCGCAAUGGGCGAAAGCCUGACGCAGCGACGCCGC